rnacentral:rRNA from 1 species
CAGCAGCCGCGGUAAUACGUAGGUGGCAAGCGUUGUCCGGAAUUAUUGGGCGUAAAGGGUGCGUAGGCGGUCAAUUAAGUCUAAUUUGAAAGUCCAUGGCUUAACCAUGGGAUUGGAUUGGAAACUGGUUGACUUGAGGAUAAGAGAGGAAAGUGGAAUUCCACGUGUAGCGGUGAAAUGCGUAGAGAUGUGGAGGAACACCAAUGGCGAAGGCAGCUUUCUGGCUUAUCUCUGACGCUGAGGCACGAAAGCGUGGGUAGCAAGCAGGAUUAGAUACCCUGGUAGUCCACGCCGUAAACGAUGAGUACUAAGUGUCGGGAGAACUCGGUGCUGAAGUUAACGCAAUAAGUACUCCGCCUGGGAAGUACGGUCGCAAGACUGAAACUCAAAGGAAUUGACGG